rnacentral:rRNA from 1 species
UACGAAGGUGGCAAGCGUUGUUCGGAUUUACUGGGCGUACAGGGAGCGUAGGCGGUUGGAUAAGCCCUCCGUGAAAUCCCCAGGCUUAACCUGGAAAGUGCAGAGGGGACUGUUCAGCUAGAGGAUGGGAGAGGAGCGCGGAAUUCCCGGUGUAGCGGUGAAAUGCGUAGAGAUCGGGAGGAAGGCCGGUGGCGAAGGCGGCGCUCUGGAACAUUUCUGACGCUGAGGCUCGAAAGCGUGGGGAGCAAACAGG